rnacentral:lncRNA from 1 species
GUUUGGUCGACGUUUACACAGAGCCAGGAGAAGGGUUCUUUUCAAAACCCUAAACUCACUAAAAUCCAUCAAAAUCUAAGGGAAAUCGAGUUGGAAAUUAGGGCUUUAACUAAAUUCAUGAUCAACCAUGCUAGGAGAUCACAAGUUGACUCUAAACAAGCUAGGUGGGAGCUUGGAAAGGAACGGGUCAAACGGAUCAUGGAUGCGAAGAAUGUUUGCGCGAACGCGAGGUAAGUAAAGCUUACGCCCAAUUGUAGUAAACGUAUGUAUUUUAUAUAUGAUAAAUGUGACAACCGAUUACAUUCGAAAUUGAAGUUCCGACACUAAGCGAUGUGAGUCGGAACGAAUAAAAAUGAUCAAAACCAUGGUUAAUGGUAAAAUGGACAAAAGGGUAAUUUAGUCGUGAAUCGACUAAGAAUUUAUAAGAUUUCUUUAAGGUUACCUUAUAGCGAAACUUGAAAUGGGUCGGAUGUGUGAAGGGGAUAUUAAAAGUCAUGUUUUGACAUAAGUAUAAAUGUUUGGUCAUAAAUACCAAAUGGGUCAAAUGGUGGUGAUGACACCAUUUGACAAUAUCGACUAAUGUUUGGUUGUUAAGUUAAAUGUUCACAGGAGUGAACGGGAAGUGGAUUAUUGCGUUGCUAUAAAGUAGCGGCUAAUAAAAGAAAGGUACAAAACGGGUCUAUAUGUUGACUCGAGCCAGGUGAAUGCCAAGAGUGCCCGGAUGAAGAUCAAGCUCGAUGAGGAACCGAACACAAUAAAAUCUAACACUCGGGAUUAAAGCUUCCGCACGGCGUUACGCCAUAUCUUUUAAAUGACGAACUUAUUUAUAUUACGUUGA